rnacentral:rRNA from 1 species
GAUGAACGCUGGCGGCGUGCCUAAUACAUGCAAGUAGAACGCUGAAGGAAGGAGCUUGCUCUUUCCGGAUGAGUUGCGAACGGGUGAGUAACGCGUAGGUAACCUGCCUGGUAGCGGGGGAUAACUAUUGGAAACGAUAGCUAAUACCGCAUAACAGUAGAUGUUGCAUGAUAUCUACUUAAAAGGUGCAAUUGCACCACUACCAGAUGGACCUGCGUUGUAUUAGCUAGUUGGUGAGGUAACGGCUCACCAAGGCGACGAUACAUAGCCGACCUGAGAGGGGGAUCGGCCACACUGGGACUGGGACACGGCCCAGACUCCUACGGGAGGCAGCAGUAGGGAAUCUUCGGGAAUGGGCGGAAGGCUGACCGAGGAACGCCGCGUGAGUGAAGAAGGUUUUCGGAUCGUAAAGAUCUGUUGUAAGAGAAGAACGAGAGUGAGAGUGGAAAGUUCACACUGUGACGGUAUCUUACCAGAAAGGGACGGCUAACUACGUG